rnacentral:rRNA from 1 species
UACAGAGGGUGCAAGCGUUAAUCGGAGUUACUGGGCGUAAAGGGCGCGUAGGCGGAAUUAUAAGUGAGAUGUGAAAUCCCUGGGCUUAACCUAGGAACUGCAUUUUAUACUGUGAUUCUGGAGUACUGUAGAGGGUAGUGGAAUUUCCGGUGUAGCGGUGAAAUGCGUAGAGAUCGGAAGGAACACCAGUGGCGAAGGCGGCUACCUGGACAGAUACUGACGCUGAAGCGCGAGAGCGUGGGGAGCAAACAGG